rfam:Dendroctonus ponderosae Seq01005400, whole genome shotgun sequence.
AACAGCUGGUGGCGCGCCUCCCCUUCGCGGGCGGUGUAAUUGCGCAUAGCUGUCAUCAGACGCUGCAGAUACCCGAAGCCCGCUUAAAGCGGGCUUUUUUGU